UACGUAGGGGGCAAGCGUUGUCCGGAUUUAUUGGGCGUAAAGAGCGUGUAGGCGGCCGUACAGGUCAGCUGUGAAAACUCGAGGCUCAACCUCGAGACGUCGGUUGAAACCGUACGGCUAGAGUCCGGAAGAGGAGAGUGGAAUUCCCGGUGUAGCGGUGAAAUGCGCAGAUAUCGGGAAGAACACCCGUGGCGAAGGCGGGACUCUGGGCCGAUACUGACGCUGAGGAGCGAAAGCGUGGGGAGCGAACAGG
rnacentral:rRNA from 1 species